GAUCAAAUUUCGGCCAACUUGCUGUAAAAUCAAGCCAAACAUGUCAGCCGUGCAGAGAAGCUUUCAGUAUGCGCGCUGCAUUGCGGGUGUGCGACCUGUUCAUGCGCACGCGGCUGGCCCACGACCGUGAUAGAGUCUUACGCGUGCGUUCAUUUCCUGCACACGCACGACAUGUCCGCGCUCGUAGGCUCCUUGCACGAGAGGGCAAUGCGUGUGUGCCCCACUUAAGUAGGUCACCUACUUUUACGCGUUGCGCAUUGGGGUGUCUGCGUGCGUGCUCCUUCUGCACGUGCUGGGCCAAGUGCUCUGCACAUACAUACAACCUGAUGUGUGGGGGAAGGACUCCUUAUACAUUCUGCCUGCCUCUUGUCCGCACCCAAAAUUCCCAUGGGCACGAGUUCUUCUUGAAAUCUUGCGGGUGUAGAUAGCUUCUGAAAUUCUCAGAUCCGCCCGCAUAAGCGUACCCAAUGGGUACCUAGACCCAUAUAAGGUCCUGAACUUCUCUUGGAGGCAGUACUCUUGGGCAUAAUCUCUUCUUAGUCGUGAGGCCUAAUAAUUUUCUUGUCUUGGGCACCCUUCGGAUCUUCUACCUUUUUUGUUAGCGUCCAAGCUUAACUGCCAACUCUUGGCCUCAAAUAAACCUUUCAGGAGGGGUUUCCAUGCUACUGCAUAGUCACUUUAUAUAUUUGGGAAAACAGAGUUUAUUUUCAUUUUGGAUCAUACAACGUUUAAUUCUAAAAAUUUGUUUACAGCCAACAAAAAAAUCAAGUGGGGUAAGUUCCCAUAUUUCAUUCCGUAGAAGGGCAUCAUACUCCUUAAUCAUAAACUAAUGCCAUUUAAGAUCUUUGAGAGCUUGGGUCAAUGUGAGCUAAGUUCGUGGAUGAGUUUAUGAUUUUUUUUAGCACGAGUUGUCAUGGUAUGGGUGUUAGUCGGUGGGUUUUAAGGAGGGGGUCUUGAGAGAGAGGUAAGGAAUUAGAGGGUGGAUUGUGCGGGUUGUUGUAGGUGUUGGUGAAAUAUUCUGGUUGAUCGGAUGCAGGGUUCAAUUUAUCGAAGUUUAGUUGAAAUGAAGUGGGGUUUCAAGUAUGGGACGUAGUGCUUCAGAAAGUAUAUUGUGUAUGGAGGAUGC
rnacentral:lncRNA from 1 species